GAUCCCAUGUGGAAGGUGAGGAGCAGUUGGAUGUGGAAGGUGAGGAGCAGUUGGAUGUGGAAGGUGAGGAGCAGUUGGAUGUGGAAGGUGAGGAGCAGUUGGAUGUGGAAGGUGAGGAGCAGUUCAGUGUGGAAGGUGAGGAGCAGUUCAGGAUGUGGAAGGUGAGGAGCAGUUGGAUGUGGAAGGUGAGGAGCAGUUCAGUGUGGAAGGUGAGGAGCAGUUCAGUGUGGAAGGUGAGGAGCA